rnacentral:rRNA from 1 species
AAUGAAUGUUGGCGGCGUGGAUUAGGCAUGCAAGUCGAGCGAGAACCCCGCAAGGGGGGACAGCGGCGAAAGGGACAGUAAUGUGUAGAUUAUCUGCCCUCAGGUCCGGGAUAGCUGCGGGAAACUGCAGGUAAUACCGGAUAACAUCUCCGGAUCAAAGGUGUGAUUCCGCCUGAGGAUGAGUCUGCAUCCUAUUAGCUAGUUGGUGGGGUAAUGGCCUACCAAGGCAUUGAUGGGUAGCAGGUGUGAGAGCACGACCUGCGUCAUUGGGACUGAGACACUGCCCAGACACCUACGGGUGGCUGCAGUCGAGAAUCUUCGGCAAUGGGCGCAAGCCUGACCGAGCGACGCCGCGUGUGGGAUGAAGGCCUUCGGGUUGUAAACCACUGUCAGAGGGGAUGAAAUGCAGGUGGGUUCUCCCAUCUGUUUGACAUAGCCUCAGAGGAAGGACGGGCUAAGUUCGUG